rnacentral:tRNA from 1 species
GCCUGGGUAGCUCAGUCGGUUAAGCUGAAGCUCAUGACUUCAUGGUUCAUGGGUUCAAGCCCCGUGUCAGGCU